UCGCGGCCUUGGGCUGCUUCGGCGCCGC
rnacentral:sRNA from 1 species